rnacentral:rRNA from 1 species
UACACUCCUACGGGAGGCAGCAGUGGGGAAUUUUGGACAAUGGGCGAAAGCCUGAUCCAGCAAUGCCGCGUGAGUGAAGAAGGCCUUCGGGUUGUAAAGCUCUUUUGUCAGGGAAGAAACGGUGAAAGCUAAUAUCUUUUGCUAAUGACGGUACCUGAAGAAUAAGCACCGGCUAACUACGUGCCAGCAGCCGCGGUAAUACGUAGGGUGCAAGCGUUAAUCGGAAUUAUUGGGCGUAAAGCGUGCGCAGGCGGUUUUGUAAGUCUGAUGUGAAAUCCCCGGGCUCAACCUGGGAAUUGCAUUGGAGACUGCAAGGCUAGAAUCUGGCAGAGGGGGGUAGAAUUCCACGUGUAGCAGUGAAAUGCGUAGAUAUGUGGAGGAACACCGAUGGCGAAGGCAGCCCCCUGGGUCAAGAUUGACGCUCAUGCACGAAAGCGUGGGGAGCAAACAGGAUUAGAAACCCGUGUAGUCCCAUGAU